rnacentral:rRNA from 1 species
ACGAACGCUGGCGGCGCGUCUUAAACAUGCAAGUCGAACGGCAAAAGAGGGGCUUGCCCCUUUUUGAGAGUGGCGGAUGGUGAGUACACGUGGGUGACAUACCUUUUAGUUGGGGAUAGCUAUUAGAAAUAGUAGGUAAUCCGAAUGUGCCGUAUUUAUUAGAAGGAUCGAGGAAAGGAGUAAGGCUUCGCUAAAAGAAUGGCUCGCGGCCCAUUAUGUAGUUGGUGAGGUAAUGGCCCACCAAGGCGAUGAUGGGUAUCCGGCCUGAGAGGGUGAACGACACAUUGGGAUGAGAUACGGCCCAGACUUUACGGGAGGCGCAGUUAAGAAUAUUCCGCAAUGGACGAAAGUCUGACGGACCGCCGCGUGGAUGAAGAAUGCCGAAAGGUUGUAAAAUCCUUUUAAGCUGAUGAAUAAGCACAGUAGGGAAUGAUUGUGCGGUGACCGUAGGGC